GACGAACGCUGGCGGCGUGGAUUAGGCAUGCAAGUCGGACGGUAGAGCUUUAUCGUAAGAUAGAGUUUGAGAGUGGCGAACUGGUGAGUAACACGUAGGUUAUCUACCCUCAAGACGGGGACAACCCAGGGAAACUUGGGCUAAUACCGGAUGUGAGCAACUUUUAGUUGUUUGAAAGGUGGCGUAAGCUGUCGCUUGGGGAUGAGCCUGCGUCCUAUUAGUUAGUUGGUGAGGUAACGGCUCACCUAGGCAAUGAUAGGUAGGCGGCCUUAACGGGUGGUCGCCCACACUGGGAUUGAGAUACGGCCCAGACUCCUACGGGAGGCAGCAGUCGAGAAUAGUCUACAAUGGUCGGAAGACUGAUAGUGCGACGCCGCGUGAACGAUGAAUCCCUUCGGGGUGUAAAGUUCUUUUAUAUGUGAGCAGUGCUUCUUAUAUUAACAGUAUGGGGAGAGAGAUAUUAGCAUAUGAAUAAGCAACGGCUAACUCCGUGCCAGCAGCCGC
rnacentral:rRNA from 1 species